UCUGAUAUGGCAGAAUAGUGCAGUAGAUUUAAGCUCUACAUAUAAAGUUUACACUUUUAUUAGAA
rnacentral:tRNA from 1 species